ACUCAAAUGAAUAGACGGGGGCCCGCACAAGCGGUGGAGCAUGUGGUUUAAUUCGACGCAACGCGAAGAACCUUACCUAGGCUUGAACUGGAUUAGAAGAUUGGCAGAAACGCUGAUUGUUCCGCAAGGAACUGAUUCAGAGGUGCUGCAUGGCUGUCGUCAGCUCGUGUCGUGAGAUGUUGGGUUAAGUCCCGCAACGAGCGCAACCCUUGUCCUGUGUUGCCAUCAUUUAGUUGGGCACUCUCAGGAGACCGCCAGUGAUAAACUGGAGGAAGGUGGGGACGACGUCAAGUCAUCAUGGCCUUUAUGUCUAGGGCUACACACGUGCUACAAUGGUCGGUACAAUGCGCUGCAAACCCGCGAGGGGGAGCCAAUCGCAAAAAACCGAUCUCAGUUCGGAUUGCAGGCUGCAACUCGCCUGCAUGAAGCUGGAAUCGCUAGUAAUGGCAUAUCAGAAUGAUGCCGUGAAUACGUUCCCGGGCCUUGUACACACCGCCCGU
rnacentral:rRNA from 1 species